GAAGCAGCCAUCCUUGAAAGAGUGCGUAAUAGCUCACUGGUCAAGUGAUUCCGCGCCGAUAAUGUAGCGGGGCUUAAGUUAUCCGCCGAAGCUGUGGCAACCUGUGUGGUUGGGUAGGGGAGCGUCGUGUCAGUGGUGAAGCUGCCGGGUGACUGUGUGGUGGAGUUGAUGCGAGUGAGAAUGCAGGCAUGAGUAGCGUGUGACGGGUGGGAAUCCCGUCCGCCGGAUGAUCAAGGGUUCCAGGGUCAAGUUUGUCUGCCCUGGGUGAGUCGGGUCCUAAGGCGAGGCCGACAGGCGUAGUCGAUGGGUAACCAGUUGAUAUUCUGGUACCGGCUUGUCACCGUCCGUGUCGAGGUGUGUGAUGCUAAGCAUGUGAGCUUGUCUUGGGAGUGUUUUUGAUGCUUCUGGGGUGGGUGAGUGUGUGAACCGAUCAUGUAGUAGGCAAGCUGCGGAGGGACGCAGUGAGGUAGCUCAUCCCCGGUGAUGGUUGUCCGGGGCUAAGUGUGUGGACUGUCUGGUAGGUAAAUCCGCUGGGCGUGAAGGUUGAGGCAUGAUGGGGAGCCCACGGUUGUGGGUGAGUGAGUGAUCCUGUACUGUCGAGAAAAGCUUCGUGAGCGAGGUGGCGGGUCCGCCCGUACCCUAAACCGACACUGGUGGAUAGGUAGAGUAUACCGAGGCGAUCGAGUGAAUCGUGGUGAAGGAACUCGGCAAAAUGCCCCCGUAACUUCGGGAGAAGGGGGGCCCGAACCUUGAAGCAGCUUGCCUGCUAGGGGGGAGGGUCGCAGAGACCAGGGAGAAGCGACUGUUUACUAAAAACACAGGUCCGUGCGAAGUCGUAAGACGAUGUAUACGGACUGACGCCUGCCCGGUGCUGGAAGGUUAAGAGGACCGGUUAGCCGCAAGGCGAAGCUGAGAAUUUAAGCCCCAGUAAACGGCGGUGGUAACUAUAACGGUCCUAAGGUAGCGAAAUUCCUUGUCGGGUAAGUUCCGACCUGCACGAAUGGAGUAACGACUUCCCCGCUGUCUCAACCAUAAACUCGGCGAAAUUGCAGUACGAGUAAAGAUGCUCGUUACGCGCAGCAGGACGGAAAGACCCCGAGACCUUUACUAUAGUUUGGUAUUGGUGUUCGGAGUGGCUUGUGUAGGAUAGGUGGGAGACGUUGAAGCCUGGACGCCAGUUCGGGUGGAGUCAUCGUUGAAAUACCACUCUGGUCACUUUGGACAUCUAACUUCGGCCCGUAAUCCGGGUCAGGGACAGUGCCUGAUGGGUAGUUUAACUGGGGCGGUUGCCUCCUAAAAAGUAACGGAGGCGCCCAAAGGUUCCCUCAGCCUGGUUGGCAAUCAGGUGUUGAGUGUAAGUGCACAAGGGAGCUUGACUGUGAGACUGACAUGUCGAGCAGGGACGAAAGUCGGGACUAGUGAUCUGACGGUGGCGUGUGGAAGCGCCGUCACUCAACGGAUAAAAGGUACCCCGGGGAUAACAGGCUGAUCUUGCCCGAGCGUCCAUAGCGACGGCAUGGUUUGGCACUCGAUGUCGGCUCAUCGCAUCCUGGGGCUGUAGUCGGUCCCAAGGGUUGGGCUGUUCGCCCAUUAAAGC
rnacentral:rRNA from 1 species